rnacentral:rRNA from 1 species
AUUGAACGCUAGCGGGAUGCUUUACACAUGCAAGUCGAACGGCAGCGCGGACUUCGGUCUGGCGGCGCGUGGCGAACGGGUGAGUAAUGUAUCGGAACGUGCCCAGUAGUGGGGGAUAACUACGCGGAAGCGUAGCUAAUACCGCAUACGCCCUCCGGGGGAAAGCAGGGGAUCGUAAGACCUUGCGCUAUUUGGGCUGCCGUUAGCGGAUUACCUAGUUGGUGAGGUAACGGCUCACCAAGGCGACGAUCCGUAGCUGGUUUGAGAGGACGACCAGCCACACGGGGACUGAGACACGGCCCAGACUCCUACGGGAGGCAGCAGUGGGGAAUUUUGGACAAUGGGGGCAACCCUGAUCCAGCCAUCCCGCGUGUGCGAUGAAGGCCUUCGGGUUGUAAAGCACUUUUGGCAGGAAAGAAACGUCGCGGGCUAAUACCCCGUGGAACUGACGGUACCUGCAGAAUAAGCACCGGCUAACUACGUG